GCUUGCAUCACGAUUUACAUUUGAGUGAGUGGCGAACUGGUGAGUAACACGUGGGAAACCUGCCCAGAAGCGGGGGAUAACACCUGGAAACAGAUGCUAAUACCGCAUAACAACUUGGACCGCAGGUCCGAGCUUGAAAGAUGGCUUCGGCUAUCAUUUUUGGAUGGUCCCGCGGCGUAUUAGCUAGAUGGUGGGGUAACGGCUCACCAUGGCAAUGAUACGUAGCCCACCUGAGAGGGUAAUCGGCCACAUUGGGACUGAGACACGGCCCAAACUCCUACGGGAGGCAGCAGUAGGGAAUCUUCCACAAUGGACGAAAGUCUGAUGGAGCAACGCCGCGUGAGUGAAGAAGGGUUUCGGCUCGUAAAACUCUGUUGUUAAAGAAGAACAUAUCUGAGAGUAACUGUUCAGGUAUUGACGGUAUUUAACCAGAAAGCCACGGCUAACUACGUGCCAGCAGCCGCGGUAAUACGUAGGUGGCAAGCGUUGUCCGGAUUUAUUGGGCGUAAAGCGAGCGCAGGCGGUUUUUUAAGUCUGAUGUGAAAGCCUUCGGCUCAACCGAAGAAGUGCAUCGGAAACUGGGAAACUUGAGUGCAGAAGAGGACAGUGGAACUCCAUGUGUAGCGGUGAAAUGCGUAGAUAUAUGGAAGAACACCAGUGGCGAAGGCGGCUGUCUGGUCUGUAACUGACGCUGAGGCUCGAAAGUAUGGGUAGCAAACAGGAUUAGAUACCCUGGUAGUCCAUACCGUAAACGAUGAAUGCUAAGUGUUGGAGGGUUUCCGCCCUUCAGUGCUGCAGCUAACGCAUUAAGCAUUCCGCCUGGGGAGUACGGCCGCAAGGCUGAAACUCAAAGGAAUUGACGGGGGCCCGCACAAGCGGUGGAGCAUGUGGUUUAAUUCGAAGCUACGCGAAGAACCUUACCAGGUCUUGACAUACUAUGCAAAUCUAAGAGAUUAGACGUUCCCUUCGGGGACAUGGAUACAGGUGGUGCAUGGUUGUCGUCAGCUCGUGUCGUGAGAUGUUGGGUUAAGUCCCGCAACGAGCGCAACCCUUAUUAUCAGUUGCCAGCAUUAAGUUGGGCACUCUGGUGAGACUGCCGGUGACAAACCGGAGGAAGGUGGGGAUGACGUCAAAUCAUCAUGCCCCUUAUGACCUGGGCUACACACGUGCUACAAUGGAUGGUACAACGAGUUGCGAACUCGCGAGAGUAAGCUAAUCUCUUAAAGCCAUUCUCAGUUCGGAUUGUAGGCUGCAACUCGCCUACAUGAAGUCGGAAUCGCUAGUAAUCGCGGAUCAGCAUGCCGCGGUGAAUACGUUCCCGGGCCUUGUACACACCGCCCGUCACACCAUGAGAGUUUGUAACACCCAAAGUC
rnacentral:rRNA from 1 species